rnacentral:rRNA from 1 species
AUGAGAUGGCUGCCAUCGGCAAGCCGCUCACAGACGACGAUAUGGUGUCAUACAUCCUUGCUGGCCUGGACUUCGACUACAUCUCCUUCGUCUCCUCCGUCUGCGCCAGGACCGUCCCCGUCAAGCCCAACGAGCUCUACGCCCAACAUCAACUUCGAGAGCCGCCUCGCCAUGUUCGAGGGUGGCAACUCGUCGUCUCACUCCUCCGCCAACGCUGCUUCCCGUGGCGGUGGUGGUUUCCCUCGUGGCGGAGGCUGCGACAGGAACGGAGGCGGCCGUGACCACGGUGGUGGCCGUGGCAAUGGAGGCAACGACGGCCGAGGAAACGGCCACGGUGCACGUGGCCAAGGAGGCGGCAGACGAGAUGAGCUCCCUGAGGUGUUCUGUCAGAUCUGCAAGAAGCCCAACCAUACUGCCCUCAAGUGCUACCGGCGCUUUGACAUUGCAUUCACCAAGGAGAAGAGUGCAAGCGCCGUGUCCAACUCCUCCAACGGCGUCGACACCAACUGGUAUGUCGACACAGGCGCCACCGACCACAUCAUUGGCGAGCUGGACAAGCUCACCAUGAGGGAGAGGUAG